GACGUAGGGUGCGAGCGUUGUCCGGAUUUAUUGGGCGUAAAGAGCUCGUAGGCGGUUCGUCGCGUCGGCUGUGAAAACCCGGAGCUCAACUCCGGGCCUGCAGUCGAUACGGGCGGACUUGAGUGUUGCAGGGGAGACUGGAAUUCCUGGUGUAGCGGUGAAAUGCGCAGAUAUCAGGAGGAACACCGGUGGCGAAGGCGGUGGUCUGGGCCGGAACUGACGCUGAGGAGCGAAAGCGUGGGUAGCAAACAGG
rnacentral:rRNA from 1 species